GGGUUAGAGACGGGUUGGUGAUCGUCAGCGGACUGUAAAUCCGCCGCCUCAGGCUAGUGGUUCAAAUCCACACUCUCCCA
rnacentral:tRNA from 1 species